rnacentral:tRNA from 1 species
CCCCUGGUAGUCCAGUGGCUAAGGCUCUGCACUCCCAAUGCAGGGGGCCUGGGUUCAAUCCCUACUCAGGGAA